rnacentral:misc_RNA from 1 species
GUGAAUCAUCGAAUCUUUGAACGCAAAUUGCACUCUCUGGUAUUCCGGAGAGUAUGCCUGUUUGAGGGUCAUUUUAAAUAAAAAUCGGUGUUGUUGCUUCCUUUCGUGGUGACGCACCGGAUUUGGGUCGUCUUGCCUUCGGUUAAGUGACCUGAAAUUUUGCAUGGUUUUUUUCGAACGUAGUUAAAUGAUGUUACGUACGUUUGCGAUAUAGAAUACUAGGUGUGUCAUCCUCAUUAUGCUCGCCUAUAAU